rnacentral:piRNA from 1 species
UCAUAACUUGCUAGGAAUCGAAAU